AAAGGAGGUGGCUAUUUCGUCUAGGCUGUCGGAGAGAGCCUUCGAGAGCUGUUGGAAAUAGAUGGUUGAAGUGGCGAUGCCGGCGAUGCCCAACCCGAGGGCGGAAGUGAUGCCCAGGCCCGCGAGAAGAGGGAGGAGGUGAACGGCUCUCUUCCGGCGGGACGUGGAGACCGAGGAGGGGAUUGUCGCAACAAGGGGGACAGAGGUGAGCCGAGAAAGUAUCGGAAGUAUGCGUGUCGAGCUGGUGAGCUGAAGAAGAGCAAUGGCCCGUCGGUCGGGAUUGACAAAAGAGUAAUAAGCAGUUAAUGGAUGGAAAAUCAGGAGGCGCUUCUCAAGGCCAUUCCAAGAGUCCACAGGACCAGCCAUGAUGCACUCUCGGAACAGAUGUGCACAGGCCUUUCCAAAAGAAGCUGCAUCUCACCCUGAACCUUCUGCGAGGCUGAUCAACUGAUCAAACCUUCGACGUUUGUGGUGAGGUGGGAAUGUU